UACGUAGGGUGCAAGCGUUGUCCGGAUUUAUUGGGCGUAAAGAGCUCGUAGGCGGUUUAGAAAGUCGGGUGUGAAACCUCCAGGCUCAACCUGGAGACGCCACUCGAUACUUCUAUGACUUGAGUUCGGUAGGGGUAAGCGGAAUUCCUGGUGUAGCGGUGAAAUGCGCAGAUAUCAGGAGGAACACCGACGGCGAAGGCAGCUCGCUGGGACGGUACUGACGCUAAGGCGCGAAAGCGUGGGGAGCGAACAGG
rnacentral:rRNA from 1 species